GCGAGUAGCUCGUUUUUAUUGUAUUAAGAUAUGUUUGCUUUAGUGAGGUUUCUCAAAGAAUUCGACAAGAACCGGCUGUACAUUGUGACGGCCAGUUCGAUUUUAGACUUUCAUCCUCGCAGCACAGAGGAUUUUAACAACAGGACUGUGUACUCGGUAUUCUGGGUUGACGAAGAGAACCACGAGAAUACGCGGGCCUACGAGGCCCAAGUUCUGCUGCUGGCCGAAUCCCGGGAGGAGCUAGAAAAUAAGAAGUCGACCAAGAGAGUGCCCAUGCCAAAAAUACAAAUGGAAGACGACAGUGAGGAUGAAAGGCCUAGUGCCAAGAGGCAAGACAAGCAGGUAUCACAAAAGCGCAAAAUUGCGCAAGCAAACGCAAAAACUGCAAACUAUAGUAGAAUUCUGGCAAAGCAUCUGCAAAGUGCAAAAAAAAAGCCAGGGGUGAGUCAUGCAGCCAGCCCAAUCAACAAAGCCAUGUAAGUGUGUCUGUACACUGUGUAUUUGCAAUUGAUAAUCAUCUAAAUGAUUCAAUUUUUCAGAGCCCAAAACCCCAUUGGGAGUGCAACAGUUCAUCAUCUGAGGAUGAAUCUCUGAUAUCCGAGUCAGAGCUGCAAAAAGAAAUAGCAAAAAAAAUGUGGAGAGAAAAAGCUCAAAAAUUAGAAAAAGAAAAUGAAAUCUUGCUGGAGCAAGUGGCAUCGCUUCAGCGGUGCUUAGAAAGCAAAAUAUUUCAAGGUAAGCGUAAUCACCUUGGCUUGAACACACUGAAUAAUGCAUACUGCCAGAAGUGUGUAAGAGAGACGCGCUUCAAGAAUCGUAUAUAUUUUGAGACAGGCAUGCUCAUAGUGUGUAAAUAUUGGCUGUGCAUUAAGCAUAUAGGUAUAAUUGGCAUGUACAGGCGCCGACAAAAGUGGUAUACUCCACGCAGCGGGAGCUGGAGCAACGGCAAACUGCAUCGCAAUGCCAUCUACAGGCAGCAUCUAGGAUUAUGUCUGUCGAUAAUAAAGGGCACCCAUUGGCUGUCUCGAUCCGAGAUGCUGCCU